AGAAUCAACGCUGGCGGCGCGCUUAACACAUGCAAGUCGAACGAGAAAGCCGGGGCAACCUGGUGAGUAAAGUGGCGUACGGGUGAGUAACACGUGGGUAACCUACCUCUUAGUGUGGAAUAACCCUGGGAAACCGGGGCUAAUACCGCAUAAGCUCGAGAGAGGAAAGCAGCAAUGCGCUGAAAGAGGAGUCCGCGGCCGAUUAGCUAGUUGGCAGGGUAAAAGCCUACCAAGGCGAAGAUCGGUAGCCGGCCUGAGAGGGCACACGGCCACACUGGCACUGAAACGCGGGCCAGACUCCUACGGGAGGCAGCAGUGGGGAAUCUUGCACAAUGGGGGAAACCCUGAUGCAGCGACGCCGCGUGAGCGAUGAAGCCCUUCGGGGUGUAAAGCUCUUUCGUCAGGGAAGAUAGUGACGGUACCUGGAGAAGCAGCUGCGGCUAACUACGUGCCAGCAGCCGCGGUAAUACGUAGGCAGCGAGCGUUGUUCGGAGUUACUGGGCGUAAAGGGUGUGUAGGCGGUUGUUUAAGUUUGGUGUGAAAUCUCCCGGCUCAACUGGGAGGGUGCGCCGAAUACUGAAUGACUUCGAGUGCGGGAGAGGAAAGUGGAAUUCCUGGUGUAGCGGUGAAAUGCGUAGAUAUCAGGAGGAACACCGGUGGUGUAGACGGCUUUCUGGACCGUAACUGACGCUGAGACACGAAAGCGUGGGUAGCAAACAGGAUUAGAUACCCCGGUAGUCCUGGCCCUAAACGAUGGGUACUAGGUGUGGGCUUGACAUGGGCUCACAGCCGAAGCAAAAGUGCUAAGUACCCCGCCUGGGGAGUAUGGUCGCAAGGCUGAA
rnacentral:rRNA from 1 species